GGAUUGUAGCUCAGUGGUAGAGUACUCGCCUCGCAUGCGAAAGGCACUGGGUUCGAUCCCCAGCACCA
rnacentral:tRNA from 1 species